GUGCCAGCAGCCGCGGUAAUACGGAGGGAGCUAGCGUUGUUCGGAAUUACUGGGCGUAAAGCGUACGUAGGCGGUUAUUCAAGUCAGAGGUGAAAGCCCGGGGCUCAACCCCGGAACUGCCUUUGAAACUAGAUAGCUAGAAUCUUGGAGAGGUCAGUGGAAUUCCGAGUGUAGAGGUGAAAUUCGUAGAUAUUCGGAAGAACACCAGUGGCGAAGGCGACUGACUGGACAAGUAUUGACGCUGAGGUACGAAAGCGUGGGGAGCAAACAGGAUUAGAUACCCUGGUAGUCC
rnacentral:rRNA from 1 species